rnacentral:lncRNA from 1 species
ACAAUCCAGUCAACCACCUUACACCGGCCUCUCCAACGAAUUUCCAAAACUCCACCGGUAUCUCAUUCGGCCCCGUCGCCCUACCCCUUCACAUCCUGCGAAUAGCCUGUCUAACCUCUUCUACCUUAAAACGUCUACAAUAGCUAAAAUCCCGACACUCCUCUGAGUGCUCCAGUUCCCCUAACACAAUAGCUCUAUCCCCUUCGUCAUUCAAGAGCCUACGAAAGUACGACUGCCAUCUAUUCUUAAUGUGGCCGUCCUCCACCAACACUCUACCGUCC